GCUACAAAAAGGCACUUGUGUAGCCAGAUGUCAGGGACUGGCUAGACGCUGACUCAGGAGAGGGCUGGGCAGUGGUUUGCAGGGACCUGUACCAGCCAGCUGGCAAGAAUCAGAGGCAGAGGAAGAUUCAGAACUGGAGGGUGGAACCCAGGAUGGGUCAGAAGAAGAGGCAGAAUUUCACUUUUGCUGCCUUAUUUUCCUCACCAAUCAGCAACAAGAUCCCCAAAUCUUGAACACAGGCCCAGUGUGGAAAAGUUAUCUAUUCUAUGCCCUCGAGAUGAG